ACAGACAGGUCAUGGGUUUUAUCAAGCUUUGUCGGAUCUUUAAAGCAUCACAACUUCCUUAAUUUUUUCUGUCUCACUCUUGGAUUUUUGUAGAGUGCUGAUGCCAAAAAGAGAGCCUACAGAAGGUGUUUGAUUUGGCCCAUAGCCAAUUUCUCAAACUUAGUAGGACAUCUCAUCCAGAGAGUGAUACAGUCCUUUACAGUUGCAGGUAUUAAAAAAACAGUCCUAACCACUGUGAAAUUACAUCUGAAAGUCCUUAUUUCUGUCCCCUGGCUGAAGAAGAAGCCUAGUAUGCAUAGCUCAGGUACUGAAAUCAACAGUGUUAGGUCUUUGAUCACUUGCUGGUGAGGAUAUAAAAGAUUCUACUUGUGUUUGAGAAAGGGUCUUUCAGGAUCUACCUGAUUCCUCUUGCUGAAUAGUGGUCACUGCAACUUGAUUUUCCUGCAGCAGCUCCAUCCUUUUUACCUUAAAUGUUGUCCCUAUCUUUCUACACAUGCAUUUUCUCCACUAUGUGUUAAUAUAACUUGUUGAAAGGGUAACUGUAAUUUACUUUGUAGGGACAAAUAAAACCAAAUUGCCUUGCUCA
rnacentral:lncRNA from 1 species